rnacentral:tRNA from 1 species
GGGCGAUUAGCUCAGUUGGUUCAGAGCACCUGCCUUACAAGCAGGGGGUCGAUGGUUCGAAUCCAUCAUCGCCCA